UGAGUAAGCCAGAUAGUCGCGGGUACAGUGCCGAAAGGCCGUACACGAGGAAAGUCCGGGCUCCAUAGGGCAGGGUGCCGGGUAACUCCCGGUGAAGGCGACUUCAAGGAAAGUGCAACAGAGAUAUACCGCCUGCUGGAAAUUGAAGCAAUUUGUUUCGGUUUUCAGUAUGGCAAGGGUGGAAAGGUGAGGUAAGAGCUCACCAGCGGUAUGGCGACUUACCGGCUAUGUAAACCCCACCUGGAGCAACACCGUAUAGAGGGACGUUAAGGUGGCCCGCCAGUCCCGGGUAGGUGGCUUGAGCUAUAUAGAAAUAUAUAGCUAGAUAGAUGACUAUCAAAUACAGAACCCGGCUUAUAGACUUACUCAAUAG
rnacentral:RNase_P_RNA from 2 species